rnacentral:rRNA from 1 species
GUGGAUUAGAUACCCUAGUAGUCCACGCCGUAAACGAUGAUAACUGGUUGUUGGCGAUACAUUGUCAGCGACUGAGCGAAAGCAUUAAGUUAUCCACCUGGGGAGUACGUCGGCAACGAUGAAACUCAAAGGAAUUGACGGGGGCCCGCACAAGCGGAGGAACAUGUGGUUUAAUUCGAUGAUACGCGAGGAACCUUACCUGGGCUCGAACGCAACGUGCUUGUGCUUGAAAGAGUACAUUCCGCAAGGACGCGUUGCGAGGUGCUGCACGGUUGUCGUCAACU